rnacentral:rRNA from 1 species
AGAGUUUGAUCCUGGCUCAGAACGAACGCUGGCGGCAUGCCUAACACAUGCAAGUCGAACGAGACCUUCGGUCUAGUGGCGCACGGGUGCGUAACGCGUGGGAACCUGCCCUUAGGUUCGGAAUAACUCCCCGAAAGGGGUGCUAAUACCGGAUAAUGUCUUCGGACCAAAAGAUUUAUCGCCUUUGGAUGGGCCCGCGUUGGAUUAGCUAGUUGGUAGGGUAAAAGCCUACCAAGGCGACGAUCCAUAGCUGGUCUGAGAGGAUGAUCAGCCACACUGGGACUGAGACACGGCCCAGACUCCUACGGGAGGCGAC